AGUGAACGCUGGCGGUAGGCCUAACACAUGCAAGUCGAACGGCAGCACAGUAAGAGCUUGCUCUUACGGGUGGCGAGUGGCGGGCGGGUGAGGAAUACAUCGGAAUCUACUUUUUCGUGGGGGAUAACGUAGGGAAACUUACGCUAAUACCGCAUACGACCUACGGGUGAAGGCAGGGGAUCUUCGGACCUUGCGCGAUUGAAUGAGCCGAUGUCGGAUUAGCUAGUUGGCGGGGUAAAGGCCCACCAAGGCGACGAUCCGUAGCUGGUCUGAGAGGAUGAUCAGCCACACUGGAACUGAGACACGGUCCAGACUCCUACGGGAGGCAGCAGUGGGGAAUAUUGGACAAUGGGCGCAAGCCUGAUCCAGCCAUACCGCGUGGGUGAAGAAGGCCUUCGGGUUGUAAAGCCCUUUUGUUGGGAAAGAAAAGCAGCAGGUUAAUACCCCGCUGUUCUGACGGUACCCAAAGAAUAAGCACCGGCUAACUUCGUG
rnacentral:rRNA from 1 species